AUCUUGACCUCAGAUCAGGCAAGGCUACCCGCUGAAUUUAAGCAUAUUAAUAAGCGGAGGAAAAGAAACUAACAAGGAUUCCCUCAGUAACGGCGAGUGAAGCGGGAAUAGCUCAAAUUUGAAAUCUCCGACGCUUGCGUCGGCGAAUUGUAGUUGCGAGAAGCACUUUCUAGGCGGAUCGGUCGUGYYUAAGUUGCUUGGAACAGUACGUCAUAGAGGGUGACAACCCCG
rnacentral:rRNA from 1 species